UUUGUUUACAUUUCAUUGCGAGAAAAAGGUGAAAAUUAGGACUCGGGAAAAAACGGAAGAUGCUUGAGACUUCAAUUCCGGGUGCAACGGUAGCUGUAUUAGCUCCCGAAAGUACAGACAUGGCAUCAGCAACAACGAACAAAGCGAAUCCUAAAAAAUUGGCUUGUUCCGAACUCUAGCUUAAUCUCAUAUUUGCAACUGAAAGAUCCCAAGGAUUUCAAUCUAGACGCUGUAAAUAGUCCCGAAAAAUGCUGCGCUCUAAAUCUCUGUAAUUGCUACAAAUCAAUAUGGUCUUAUUCGCCAUUCGGAUACUGUCUGUAUACCUCAAUGGAAAUCAAGUGCUGUAUCAUCUGUGCCGAGAGAAAUUGUGGCUCGUUGCACGUUUGGAAUAAAACAACCGACCACCCUUUGGGGUUUGAAAAUACAUUGUACUGGCCCCUCCGAAAUCGGAAUUUAACCAUAAACAGCUUCAUUCUAUUCCGGCUCAAAUCGGUUCGAGCAGAAAUGGUGCUAACACAGGGAAUUUCAGCGAACGAUUUAUAGAGAAAAUAUAUGUUCGAUUAUAGACUAUCAAA